rnacentral:rRNA from 1 species
UUGAACGCUGGCGGCAUGCCUUACACAUGCAAGUCGAACGGUAACGGGCCUUCGGGUGCCGACGAGUGGCGAACGGGUGAGUAAUACAUCGGAACGUGCCCGAUCGUGGGGGAUAACGAGGCGAAAGCUUUGCUAAUACCGCAUACGAUCUACGGAUGAAAGCAGGGGACCGCAAGGCCUUGCGCGGACGGAGCGGCCGAUGGCAGAUUAGGUAGUUGGUGGGAUAAAAGCUUACCAAGCCGACGAUCUGUAGCUGGUCUGAGAGGAUGAUCAGCCACACUGGGACUGAGACACGGCCCAGACUCCUACGGGAGGCAGCAGUGGGGAAUUUUGGACAAUGGGCGCAAGCCUGAUCCAGCCAUGCCGCGUGCAGGAUGAAGGCCUUCGGGUUGUAAACUGCUUUUAUACGGAACGAAAAGCCUUCUUUUAAUACAGGAGGGUCAUGACGGUACCGUAAGAAUAAGCACCGGCUAACUACGUG